rnacentral:rRNA from 1 species
AGAGUUUGAUCAUGGCUCAGAACGAACGCUGGCGGCAUGGAUUAGGCAUGCAAGUUGAACGAACCACUUCGGUGGAGAGUAGCGGAAGGGUGAGGAACGCGUGAGUAAUCUGCCCCCUAGUUGGGAAUAACAGUUGGAAACGACUGCUAAUACCGAAUGUGGCUUCAAUCCUGCAUGGGAUGGAGGCUAAAGAUUUAUCGCUAGGGGAUGAGCUCGCGUCCCAUUAGGUAGUUGGUGAGGUAACGGCCACCAAGCCGACGAUGGGUAGC